UGGGCCUUGGACCUGUCCCCAUCAAGUCCAUUGGGAAAGCCCACUAGCCUCCUCAUACUCUCAUCUUUCCCUUUUUCCUCCUUAUAAACAUCUGCAAAUGUUCCCUCCCCUCCUAUCUUUACCAUAAUAAAAAUCUUUCUCUGCCUCUCUCUCACUCUCUCUCCCCCUCUUUCUUAGUCUCUUUCACCCUCUUAAAAUAGAGAAGUGAGGGAGAAAAAAGGGUCUCAAAGAUGAAACCAAAAGACAAGUUUGUCAAAGGUCCCAAUAAGGACCAUUUCAUGCAUGUGAUGAGUACUAGUAGCAGCAGCAGCAACAAGUUCAUCAUCAACACCAUGGUCAACCCUUUGAGAUUCUAUGACAAAAAAGAAGAAGACAUUGGUGGCUCUGAAAUUGUAGCUGACACUUGUUCAAAAUCAGUAGCAACAGAUUCAUUCUAAUCAAGGGUGCUAUCCUAUCUGAGCUUUUUUUCUUCUUCCCCUUUUAAUUUUUUUUAAUUAUUUUUAGUUUUUUUUUUUUUAAUCUUCUUUACUUGCGUCUUCUUGACCUUGUAAGACCUUUUCUUGACCUUGUAAGACCUCACUCUGAGCCUGUUUUCUUUGUUUUUGCUUUUGUGGAAGACACUAUAUCGAAAUUUAUCGAUGUAGAGUUUCUUCUCGAUUUUUCCCUUUUACCACCCAACUCAUUCUCUCUUUCCUUGUCUAUCCCUCCUGAGCUAUUUUAAUUUUCGCCAUUUAUUUAAUAAUUUAUGGCUUGAAAAUUGAAAGAAGAAGAAAAAAGACCUUGCAAAUUGUAAUGUCCUAGUUUAUUAGGUUUUUGAGACCAUAAAAAUUCAAUUGCAAUUUGGGUCUAAUUUGUUUGAUAUUAUCAUUAUUAUUGUAAUAAUUAUUAUUAUUAUUAU